GGGUUGUGAGGUUAAGCGACUAAGCGUACACGGUGGAUGCCCUGGCAGUCAGAGGCGAUGAAGGACGUGCUAAUCUGCGAUAAGCGCCGGUAAGGUGAUAUGAACCGUUAUAACCGGCGAUUUCCGAAUGGGGAAACCCAGUGUGACUCGUCACACUAUCAUUAACUGAAUCCAUAGGUUAAUGAGGCGAACCGGGGGAACUGAAACAUCUAAGUACCCCGAGGAAAAGAAAUCAACCGAGAUUCCCCCAGUAGCGGCGAGCGAACGGGGAGGAGCCCAGAGUCUGAAUCAGCAUGUGUGUUAGUGGAAGCGUCUGGAAAGGCGCGCGAUACAGGGUGACAGCCCCGUACACAAAAGCGCAUGUGUUGUGAGCUCGAUGAGUAGGGCGGGACACGUGGUAUCCUGUCUGAAUAUGGGGGGACCAUCCUCCAAGGCUAAAUACUCCUGACUGACCGAUAGUGAACCAGUACCGUGAGGGAAAGGCGAAAAGAACCCCGGCGAGGGGAGUGAAAAAGAACCUGAAACCGUGUACGUACAAGCAGUGGGAGCACAGGUUUACCUGUGUGACUGCGUACCUUUUGUAUAAUGGGUCAGCGACUUAUAUUCUGUAGCAAGGUUAACCGAAUAGGGGAGCCGCAGGGAAACCGA
rnacentral:rRNA from 1 species